ACUACAGAAGGGCAAUGGUACUGUCGCAGCUCUUCUGGCAAAAAGGUUGCUAAUGCAGAUUUUUCUGUUUGGGGCUUUGGCCAUUAAUGACGUUGGUUCAUUUUCCAGACUCCGGUGCCUCCAUCUUCCACCUGCAGGCCAGCCUGAUCCAGUCCCGAGCCUGCUUCUGCUUUUCACAAUGUAUGUUCCAUGAUGGAACUCUGAUGCCAGCGUAAAUCUGUGCAACACAGUACAAAUUACUUUAGUACUUGCAUGCCACUAUAAUCCCUUUUCUGUGAAAAUGCCUUAAAAUAGUCUUUUAAUUAAAAAUCCAAAUCUUUGGUCAUUUUUUGUAGCAUAUUGAUCUACAAAAAUAUGGAAUCUGUAUUACACUUCUGUCACCCAAAUUUCAUUAGAACUCUAGAAGUAAUUGGCUGUGCAUGCAAGACAACUGUACAUUAUUGUACAUGGUAUGGAUAUUUUUACAUGGAUUUUUUUCUUGAGCAUCUGACCUGCUAUGUGUUGUUUCAAUGGGAUUUCUAAUCAACUGCGCAAAAUGCUUUAACCCAGUGUCAUCAGAGCAGGGCAUCAUGGACACAGACACUAAAAACCACAGGAGAUCAUCUUAAUCUUCAGGUACUGUCUGAAGAAUGGAUUCAGAUAGUCUUAUUCCAGAUGAACCACAGACAAGCACAAGAUGCCUACAGGCAAAACCAGAAGCAGUAAUUAUCUUUUUACAAAGGUUGAUAAUGUUUUAGCUAAUCCAUACCCAAAAUAAAACCCUAUUCUUUCAUUA